rnacentral:misc_RNA from 1 species
UGUUAUUUUUAGUUUAUUUGUGUUUAGUCCCCUUGUAACUGCAAAGUCCAGAAGAUCUGGUUUUUUGUUCAGGUCAGUCGGCCAAUGUGUCGGUGUUCCUGUGGAUAAUAUAUUGAGGUUAUUAUUUCUAAUGUAUUUUUCCAGUGUUCUGCCUCGAGGUGUAAUGUUUCUUGACCCCCAAAGCGUGUGCUUUGAGUUGUAGUCUCCCGCUGCGAUGUACUUGUCCCCU